GACGAACGCUGGCGGCGCGCCUAACACAUGCAAGUCGAACGAGCGAGAGAGAGCUUGCUUUCUCGAGCGAGUGGCGAACGGGUGAGUAACGCGUGAGGAACCUGCCUCAAAGAGGGGGACAACAGUUGGAAACGACUGCUAAUACCGCAUAAGCCCACGGCUCGGCAUCGAGCAGAGGGAAAAGGAGCAAUCCGCUUUGAGAUGGCCUCGCGUCCGAUUAGCUAGUUGGUGAGGUAAUGGCCCACCAAGGCGACGAUCGGUAGCCGGACUGAGAGGUUGAACGGCCACAUUGGGACUGAGACACGGCCCGGACUCCUACGGGAGGCAGCAGUGGGGAAUAUUGCACAAUGGGGGAAACCCUGAUGCAGCGACGCCGCGUGGAGGAAGAAGGUCUUCGGAUUGUAAACUCCUGUUGUUGAGGAAGAUAAUGACGGUACUCAACAAGGAAGUGACGGCUAACUACGUGCCAGCAGCCGCGGUAAAACGUAGGUCACAAGCGUUGUCCGGAAUUACUGGGUGUAAAGGGAGCGCAGGCGGGAAGACAAGUUGGAAGUGAAAUCCAUGGGCUCAACCCAUGAACUGCUUUCAAAACUGUUUUUCUUGAGUAGUGCAGAGGUAGGCGGAAUUCCCGGUGUAGCGGUGGAAUGCGUAGAUAUCGGGAGGAACACCAGUGGCGAAGGCGGCCUACUGGGCACCAACUGACGCUGAGGCUCGAAAGUGUGGGUAGCAAACAGGAUUAGAUACCCUGGUAGUCCACACUGUAAACGAUGAUUACUAGGUGUUGGAGGAUUGACCCCUUCAGUGCCGCAGUUAACACAAUAAGUAAUCCACCUGGGGAGUACGACCGCAAGGUUGAAACUCAAAGGAAUUGACGGGGGCCCGCACAAGCAGUGGAGUAUGUGGUUUAAUUCGACGCAACGCGAAGAACCUUACCAAGUCUUGACAUCCCUUGACGAUGCUGGAAACAGUAUUUCUCUUCGGAGCAAGGAGACAGGUGGUGCAUGGUUGUCGUCAGCUCGUGUCGUGAGAUGUUGGGUUAAGUCCCGCAACGAGCGCAACCCUUAUGGUCAGUUACUACGCAAGAGGACUCUGGCCAGACUGCCGUUGACAAAACGGAGGAAGGUGGGGAUGACGUCAAAUCAUCAUGCCCUUUAUGACUUGGGCUACACACGUACUACAAUGGCGUUAAACAAAGAGAAGCAAGACCGCGAGGUGGAGCAAAACUCAGAAACAACGUCCCAGUUCGGACUGCAGGCUGCAACUCGCCUGCACGAAGUCGGAAUUGCUAGUAAUCGCAGAUCAGCAUGCUGCGGUGAAUACGUUCCCGGGCCUU
rnacentral:rRNA from 1 species